GAUGAACGCUGGCGGCGUGCUUAACACAUUCAAGUCGAACGGUGACGGGGCUUCGGCCCCUGAUCAGUGGCGGACGGGUGAGUAACGCGUGAGCAAUCUGCCUAUGUGAACGGAAUAACGUCUGGAAACGGCCGCUAAAUACCGUAUAAUGCAUUUGGAUCGCAUGUUCCGAAUGCCAAAGNUUUUAUCGCACAUAGAUGAGCUCGCGUCCCAUUAGAUAGUUGGUGAGGUAACGGCCCACCAAGUCUACGAUGGGUAGCCGGACUGAGAGGUUGAACGGCCACACUGGGACUGAGACACGGUCCAGACUCCUACGGGAGGCAGCAGUGGGGAAUUUUCCGCAAUGGGCGAAAGCCUGACGGAGCAACGCCGCGUGGGUGAUGAAGUUUUUCGGAACGUAAAACCCUUUCAGCAGGGACGAAGCGAGUGACGGUACCUGCAGAAGAAGCAUCGGCUAACUACGUGCCAGCAGCCGCGGUAAUGUGCUAU
rnacentral:rRNA from 1 species